rnacentral:rRNA from 1 species
UGAGGAAUAUUGGUCAAUGGACGCAAGUCUGAACCAGCCAAGUAGCGUGCAGGAUGACGGCCCUAUGGGUUGUAAACUGCUUUUAUAUGGGGAUAAAGUGGGGAACGUGUUCUCUUUUGCAGGUACCAUAUGAAUAAGGACCGGCUAAUUCCGUGCCAGCAGCCGCGGUAAUACGGAAGGUUCGGGCGUUAUACGGAUUUAUUGGGUUUAAAGGGAGCGUAGGCCGUUUGGUAGGCGUGUUGUGAAAUGUAGGAGCUCAACUUCUAGAUUGCAGCGCGAGCUGUCAGACUUAAGAGCGAACAGCGUAGGCGGAAUUCAUGGUGUAGCGGUGGGAUGCUUAGAUAUCAAGAAGAACUCCGAUUGCGAAGGCAGCUUACGGGAGCGCAACUGACGCUGAAGCUCGAAGGUGCGGGUAUCGAACAGG